rnacentral:rRNA from 1 species
ACGUGUAGCUGUUUGACGGUACUAUACGAAUAAGGACCGGCUAACUCCGUGCCAGCAGCCGCGGUAAUACGGAGGGUCCAAGCGUUAUCCGGAUUUAUUGGGUUUAAAGGGUCCGUAGGCGGGUUAUUAAGUCAGUGGUGAAAUCCUACAGCUCAACUGUAGAACUGCCAUUGAAACUGGUAACCUUGAGUAUAAUUGAAGUGGGCGGAAUGUGUCAUGUAGCGGUGAAAUGCUUAGAUAUGACACAGAACACCGAUUGCGAAGGCAGCUCACUAAGUUAUAACUGACGCUGAGGGACGAAAGCGUGGGUAGCGAACAGGAUUAGAUACCCUGGUAGUCCACGCCGUAAACGAUGUACACUCGUUGCUGGCGAUACACAGUCAGUGACCAAGCGAAAGUGUUAAGUGUACCACCUGGGGAGUACGCUCGCAAGAGUGAAACUCAAAUGAAUUGACG